rnacentral:rRNA from 1 species
CGCGUAGGCGGCCUCUCAAGCGGGAUCUCUAAUCCGAGGGCUCAACCCCCGGCCGGAUCCCGAACUGGGAGGCUCGAGUUCGGUAGAGGCAGGCGGAAUUCCCGGUGUAGCGGUGGAAUGCACAGAUAUCGGGAAGAACACCGAUGGCGAAGGCAGCCUGCUGGGCCGCAACUGACGCUGAGGCGCGAAAGCUAGGGGAGCGAACA